UACCGGCCGCCUUCAGGGCGACGGAGGCGAGGAGUCCUCAGCAGCGCUGGCGGAGCCGUGCGGCCGGCGGCUGGGAGGCAGCGGGGGGAGGCCGUCAGGGCGCAGCAGCAGCAUCUCCUCCCGCGGCGCCCCUCUCCCUCACGGCGCUGAGGGGCGGGCACGGCCUCGCUCCCCGCCCCGCCGAUCCUUCCCCUCUUUCCUCCCUUCCCCUCCUCCCUUCAGCGCUCCCCGCCGCUAGCCACCGCCCUCUUUCCUUUCCCUCCUUCCCUCACGCCCCCGAGGCGGCGGGGAGCUGCUCACACAGGCCCGGCCCCGGCUCGAAGGUGAACUCACUAUAUUGUUACCCACCUCGCGAACAAGAAGAAAGCUUAUUUUGGUCUCUGUACAUUUAUACAUUUCCACAGCAAGGGCCCACCUCCUCAUUUUACAGACAACAGCGGCAUACCAACAGAGCUCCUCUUUCCUCAGACAACAGCAGUCCGUAGCACAGCAUCAGCACUGAACAGAGACCGAGGCUGUAUAACAGCAAAACCUCCAAAUGCUCCUGUAUCACCUGUCUGGGACAGCACACGCACCCUAAGAGGAUGGUCCAGUGAGCUGUUGCAACUAAGUGAAAGACUGAUGCGGAACUGCAGUCCCUCUAGAUUUGGUAUUACACAGCGGUGCCAGUGAAUUUUUGCAGUAAAAUGUCUUGAGCUCGUGAAAAAAGGACGUCAGAAAAUCAAAACCGAUGAGUACAACUCCCCUGAAACCUGGCCAACGUUCUCUCACUCACCCACCAGCAGUCAGCAGCAUGGUGUUGUGUUGCGGUGUUUCUCCUUUAUGGUGAAAAAAACCUUAUGGGAUGUCUGCAUGUUGCCAAAAAGGAGAAUCUUUCUUUAUGUAGAGAAUCAUAACAAUCCUACAACUACUAUGUACUGACAAUUCGGAAACACAUACAUUAAAAAUCUUAGAUGACUCAUGCUCCGCAGCGGCUUUGUAGCAUGCAUUCCUGUCUGCUACAUGGUAUUAAGCUUUUGAAGGAGCUUUUGGACAGUGCUCUGGCUGCUUGAAACACUGAAAUGCUUUGGAAUUCAGCCAUGAGGUUUCAUCACUGGACUGUUUCUCCUACUGUUCAUUGAUUUUAAAACCAGAGUGUCAUCCUUCAGCCCCCUCAGUUACUUGCUGGGCCCUACAGUACCUCCAAUUUUACUGAAAAGAGCUUUUGUGCACAUUCCGAAUUUGUCUGUGUUCAAAUCCUGUUAAUUCUGGACUGAGGCUGACAUAAAGAAUCUCCAUUCCUUCUGGAACACCUACAUCCACAAAUUUUCUCCCGCAAGGCAGACUUCUCUGGAGAACAAAUGUGGGGUGGGGACCUUUAACAUAACCCUUUGGUGAGCUACCUCCAAACCACAACUUUUGUUAUUUGACUACUUUGGGUCAUUAUUCAUAUAAAAAGGAACAGAAUCAAAAAGUGAAUCCUUAUUCUAGCUGUGAUCAAGUGAACUGCUGAAAAUACUCAAAAACAAAUCUUUUCCCAUCCAAGAUGAUGGGAUGGAACUGAGAAGGUAAGGCUACUCCAAGAGCGGGAGCAUCACCUAGACAAUGCUGAGGACAAAUUCAGCAAAGAAUGGGCAUAAAUUUAUCUUCCAAAACAAAAAAUAAAUGUGUUACUCUUUAUGAACACUCGAUGACAGAUCAAGGCUUAAAAUAGUUUUCAUAGUUAUCUGCAGUCAAUUUCUUAAUCACUAUCGUAGCUUAAUCCUGUUAAUAGCAGAUAGGUCUUUACCUAGCUCAGGUUAAAUGCAGGAAUGGGAGAUUGUAUAGCUUUCCACCUCUUUCACACAUUAAAUCAUUAAGCAUUUUCAAAAAUUGAAGGGCUGUUUUGUUGUGGCAGCUACUCCUUCGCAAUUUCUGUCUCAUGAGUUUGUAGGAAUCCAAGAUAAUUCCCCUUCUUCUCCAGUGUUACAUAUGAGGUAGAGGUGGGAAUAAUUCAUGUUUCAUAUUUAGCCAAGAAAAAUGUUAAAUGUCCCAUUGUUAGUUCCAGGCUAAUGACACUAGAAAGGCUAAAAUCUGGAAGAUUACACUCCCUGCAAUGAGACUUAGUUAACAAAAACAGCAGUCUGUCCAUUAAAUAGCCAUAUUCAGAGAGCCAGCUGUUUUCUCCAGCACCCUAAUUACUAUUCCACAUCUAAAUGCACCUGGAAUGUCGACAGAACAUCACAGAGAAGCAUCAAGAAGAACCAACACUUAUUCUUACCCUGCAGUCCAUUUUAAACUAAGACAGAUACAUCAGCAAAUGAGUAUUAAUUUAAGCAUCUAAACUUCCUCCCUAACUCCCUACACUGUACUCAUGAUCAUAUUUUCUUGGAGGCACAGCAGAUUUACAAUUCAGGCUCCAUCCUGUGUGGUUAACAGGGGCUUGGGAGAGCUCGUUGAAAAGUGAGAUCAUCUCGGUGUUUAUCAGUAUGGACUUGAGGAGAGUCUGGGCUACAGGGCAGUGAAGGGAGCCGAUGAAAGUGUUGCUCUGUAAGCAUCAGGGCACAGACAGAAACGUAGCCAACACUGAGCAGCCCCCAGCAAAGGGCUCCACACAGAAGAAAAAGUCUUCAACUGUAUCACCGAAUUAGAAAAUGACUAACAUGCAGCUCACAGCAGCCAUACAUUCUGUAAAGGAAUGAGAACUGGGCCCAGUGUGUUUAAAUGGGCUGCCCAACACCACAGUGGUUCAUCAGUUUGAGCACAAAGGUUGUUCACUGACCUUCAUCCCACUCAUCUGCCUCAAGCGGAGGGAGAGAAGGGUUUGCAGGAGCCGUCCAAUCUCCAUCCUUCAACUCUGCUUCAGGACAAACGAUUCCAUGGAUUUGCUGCAGCUUGUCAGCGUGUAACACACACUACCUCUUACCAAGCAAGUGAUGAUUAGGCUGUCACUGCAACUGACUGCAGGAGAAAAAUUCCAAGGCUGGUGUGGUGCUAAAAAGGUACUUCCGUUUUGU